AUUGUAGUCUGCAACUCGACUACAUGAAGCUGGAAUCGCUAGUAAUCGCAAAUCAGAAUGUUGCGGUGAAUACGUUCCCGGGUCUUGUACACACCGCCCGUCACACCAUGGGAGUUGGAAGCACCCGAAGUCUGUGACCUAACCGAAAGGGAGGAGCAGCCGAAGGUGAAGCCAGUGACUGGGGUGAAGUCGUAACAAGGUACC
rnacentral:rRNA from 1 species